UCAACAUUCAGUAUACGUUGAGGUAUGUAAUUUGAGAGAAAGGGAUUACCUAAUAACUUGCAUUAUCCUCUGUUGAAAUCUAUAGUAGCAUGUCAUUGCAAUGAUAACUUACUAAUUUUUGUUAAAUAAACAUAUUUCAAUGAAAUAUGAACCUCCGCAAAUAUUAAAUAAACUAACUAAUCUCGAAUUUAAUUUAAUUACUCUCUAAUUAGCUGUGAUUUUGAGUUAAACAUAGACUUAAAAACUCAGAUUAUUACUUCGGCUAAAGGCGGUUAGCAGGGGCUUUACUAUACUUUGAUACUUGAAAGAUUCCUAGGUCCUUUAAUGACGGCUCAUAUAAUAAAUUACUCGAAUAUGUCAAAUAUUCUUGAUAACGACUAUACGUAAGCACAGGUCAGGAGUCUUAACUCGAAAAUUGGUCUUACAAGCUGUUGUCUCUAUAUUAGCACGUCAGGAUCUUUGAAGAAGUUUCACAGCUAGGAAGCAUUAGGAAUCAACUCUGUCUUCUCCAGGAUUACAAUAUGAAACUUCUGAAGCCAAGUAUUACUUACAGCAGUCUAGCAUGCACUAGGGAGUGCUACUACUCUUUCGAAGUAAUGUUAUAAAAAUGCGAAUAUGACUAUUAUAAAAAUAUCUGAGAUUCCUAACAACAGAUUUAAGUCAAGAGAAAGAAAUCGUUUAAACGUAUUUUACACGAUAGUUUUCAGAACGUUCUCUGUCAUAAACAUUUCAGUAAGCGUAAUGGAAUAAAUAAAAGACAAAAAUACCAUGCAAGUGCAUAACAACUUUGCCACUAAAUUCAUAUAUUUAAUUUUUCACUAUAUAAAAAUUAAUUUGCGAUUUAGCAAUUUUUUCUAUGCUUAUAAAUAACUCUAUUUUGUUGCAUCAUUUUGUUUACAUUUAUGCAUUUAAACACUUUUAAUGAAAUAUUAUUAGAUACUCAGAUAAUAAUAUAAUUAAUAUAAUCGAUAUGCCAUCCUUUCAUUAGUUUAUUCUUGAAUAUGUUUAUAUCAUCUCAUAUACAAAUGAGGCAAAAUAUCCAUCGAUAUUCACAGUUGAAAAUGUUAUGGUAGCAUUAAAUAUUUUGUAAUAUUUCGUUAAGUAGUUCUUUAAUAUUAAUCCUUACAGUGCAUUUUUCGUCAAAAAUUAAGGUGUUUAGUUCCACUGCAAUUUGCUGAGCUUUUAAAGAGCUCUAAGUGUUCAAGAACAUGAAGAACGAUAUUUAUAUUAAGAAAAUUAACUUUUCGCAUCUUUCUGCUUUAAACUUUCACGUUAAAUCAUCAAAUACGACUGCUAUUGGGUAUAAUAGAUGUAUUUGUUUCAAACAUAAAUAGCGUUCGUAUGAUUCAGUUUUAAAGCAUUCCGGUUUGUUAAAAUGUAUGUUUAAAGUAUUUGUACAACAACGGCUCCUUCACAAGUUUUACAAAUAAAAGGAAUACGGUCGAAAGCUUAUGAAGUAAAAUUUCAUAUUGUAUUACUCUUCACGCCUGUACAGAACGUCGCGAGGCUAAACUUUGAGAUCUAGGCACUAUACUUAUAUAUGGUAUACUUAAUUUUGAAGUUCAGUAUUAAUUAUAGACGAGUUCGGUAUUCAUAAUUUAGUCUUAAAUUAACUUUGACGCUCAUGCGAAGAUAUACAUAUAAUACACAGAUACCAAAUGUUUCUAUAAGUUACAAUACAUUAAGAAAAAGAUCUUCUGUACCUCUGUUGUCUUAAUUUUAUUUUAUUAAUCUUCCAAGAAAGCAAAUCUUCUCUCACAGAACCUUAGUACUUUUUACCAUAGCUAAUCCAGUCCAAUUUGUAAGGUUACCCUUAUUUUGGAUAACCAAUUGUUUCAUAAUUCAGAUCUUUACUGUCACUUCUCUUUCCGCAUCCCUACUAAAAUGCAAAUGUUUUCGAAAGUAUUUAAGGUGACAGUUUCGGAUUGCAAAACAGAGCGUGCUUCCGCCUCUCGAAGCCACGUUAUUAAGUUUCGCUAACUCAGAUAAGACUGAAAUUGCUCGGCUUUGCUUUAUGGUUGCUCACAUUUAAAUUGUUACGCCGGUGAGAAGUUUGAGCCAAAUUCGUGUUGAAUCAAAUAUAUGGCCCACGACUUAUAUUAAAUAUUGAAAUUAAACAUUACUCGAAGUUUCAUCGCCAAAUUCUUAGUUGAUUCGUUAGCAGGAGUCGUGCAUUUUAUGUUCCAGUUCUGAUUUAAUAAAAUGGUUUGUUUUAAAACAUUUUUAAUCUUUGUAGUUCUAUCCAGACAAAACGAUAAUUCGCUCUAAGUCUGGCAGGGAAUCGGAAUUCGUUUAUGCUAACCAUGAAGACUAAAGAAGACUCCUUUUCUAUUUGUCUUCCUGUUAUGAAUGGCUAUAGAUCUGGAAUUCAGUUCUGUGUUUUCUAUAUGAAUCAUGUCGUUAAUAUUGUUUUUUUUAUUCUUUAACACUUAAACAUUUAGUUUCACUUUUAUGUUCCUAUGCAUAAUCGCCUUUAUAUUUCAUUAAUUUUACUUUCUUUAUUGCAUUUUCAUUUCGAUAUUUUUCAAGUUAUUAAUAAAUUUUGAUUUACCAAUAUGCAUUGCUGUACCUAUUAGUAUAAUUAAUUUAAAUUAGUUAAUUGAAUUGCCAAUAAUUAGUGCUACAUACAUUAUUAUUAUAAAUUAUCAUUUAAUUAUUAGUGUGGCUCAUGUGAGAAUGUUAACUGUAUGUUGGUAAAUCGAUCCAUUUUUCAGUUGUUUAAGCAAGGAGCAGAUUACAUAGGCGAUUUCAUUGCUUUUAUUAUGUAUAACAUAGCAGUUUUUUCAGUUGCAUUAAAAGUCGAAGAGGAAGGGGGCAGUCUAACCUGAAUCAAUCUGCUAUAAAAGCAGGUAAAUAAUUAUAAGAAUAUUAAUGCAGUAUAUGGGGAUCGGACAAUAGGACGUAAGCUGGACAAUCAGAAUCGAGCAACUCACCAAUGCCAAGAGUAGUUCCAGAAAUUCCGAGCCGGAAACUGCAGCCUAGAAACAAGCCUCAUCUGGAAGAUCUGUACAGCCCGACGAGAACGUCCUACAAAACCUGGUAGACCAAAAUCGCAUCGCAGCUGAUGAGAAACUAGCGGAGAAUCAAGAAGAGUACAUUUUAGAUUUAAAAAGGACAUUGUUUGUUUAUUAUAACUCUUAAAAAUGAAAGUAGUAUUAAAAACUGCAUUAUUUAUCGGAUGACUGAAUAAAUACAAGCCUUUCUUUUGCAAAAUCUUCCAAAAAGUCAUCUCUUCCCUUAGGAAAGAGACCUCGUGUGCUUUGCCAUAAUCUAUUAAACAAAAUUUAACUAUCAUUGCACUUAAUAUUUAUACUAAUUUGAUACAAUGUAUAUUUUUGAAUAUUAUUAUCAUUUCUUAACUAAAUUUUUUAUUAUUAUGCAUUGUAAAUGUUAAAGCUCUGUAUUAGUAUAUACUUGGUAAUAUCAUCAUUUAUUUAUUUUAUUUGUAACGCGUAAAAUGCUGUUUGUAGAGAUGUUACGGAAUUCCCAUAUAUAGUAUUUAUUAGUCUAGGAUUUUCGCAAGUAUGUUUUCAGAAGAGACUAUGAAAUAAAACCUAAUUUCACCACAUGAUAACCACGCAUUAUAAUCUCCCGAGUGGAAAAGAGAAGAAUAUGUCCACUGUUUUACAAUUACAGAUUUACGUUUACAUGCUUACAAGUGGGGACAGAAAAGGAAAAAUUACAGACGUCAGGAUUCAAGACAAAGGUAAGAGCGUAAGAAAUGGAAAGGUUACCAUACAGGUAACUGAUUAAGAAUAACGAAAUUUCCAUUGGUUAACUAUAAGAUUCUGUGUAAAUAAUUUUUAACAUUGUCGGAUUAACUUUCCUUCUUUUACAAACUCUCGACGCUAUAUGAAUACCUGCGAUAUUAAACAUCAUAUAAGAAUCCUACGAUAAGGAUAAAUUUUGAAAUUAUGCACUUCAGAAAGAUUUAGUAUUAGCAUAUAAAAGUGAAACGUGCGUAUUAGCAUAUUUCGCUUUUUAGGAUAGAAAAAAGAAAUAAUAAGAUUUCAGGGUUAUCACGAUCUAAAUUUAGAAUUUUAUCUUAUAUAUUCCUUACCGUACAUGUGCUCUCUUUAGAAACGAUGACUUGGUUUAAAAAGUUAUUUCUUAGGAGAGACCAUUAAGCUGCAACAAACAAAUAUAUCACCACAUGGAAAAUGUGAGCUAGAAAACCUGCAGUGGAAAUAAUAUUUCUAAAGCUAGAGCAUAAAAUCUUCGAGCAUUUUUAGAAAAUAAAUAAAAUUUAUAAUUCCAUAGAAAUUUCGAUCUUCAAUCCAAUUUUUGAAAAUACCUUUGUUUUUUGAAAAGCUGAUUCUAAUUAUGAAGACUUUUUAAGAAAACCUUUUCAUAUAUUUAUUACCUGCGUUCGCAUAUUUAAUACUUAUUCGGUUGCAUUAUAACAAAUCACAAAAGUUUAUAACAUUAAAGCUUCAUAUUUAUAAUUUUUUUAAUAUAAAAAGAAGAUAAUAUCAUAUUAAAAGUACAUUUUCACAUUAAUUGGUAAUCCUAUACCAGCUGAAGGCUCCACUAUUCUUAAAAUACUAACGUUUCGAUAAAAAUUUGGGCAAGUUCUCUUUAUUGAUGUGUGACUACUAUUAUACACCUUUUCAAGGCUUCUGUUCUUUGCAUAAGGUAAGUGGCCCUUUCAUGACUGUAGUAAUUCGUUAUAUAGUAAAAAAAUAUUAAUUGUAAAAACGACAAAUUCAGUAAUAUUAAAAAUAGCUUGCAAUUU